AAACUGGGCUCCCAUCAAGAAAUGAACAUGUGCCUGACUGUUUUCCAGAGUGACUAUGGACCAGUGACUACUGCAUGCCUCCCAUUCUAUUUCCUCCCUUUUCCAGCUUUAGUCUUUGAGUCAACUUCCUGACUUCCAAUUCUGUCUCUCCUCCAUGAUGGCCAGUGGCAAAACAAAGACAAAGCAGCUUAUAUCUUGCAUUGAAGCCCGUGGUCUCUGAAGGAUCCAUGCUGCUGUGAGGUGUUGCUAGAAGCCUAGAUGAAUGAACGAGGUCCUUCUGUCAGAAGAAGAAAACAAUGUACCUCGAUAUAGGAAAUGAGAAAUAUUCCCAAGGAGAUGAAACCAUGAUGAUACCCAAAGUGCUGCAACCAUUGCAAGAUGCUGUAUUUAUAAGGAAGAAAUAAUAACUACAGUGCAUUUUCCUUCUUUAAGCCCUGGAACAGACAAGGCUACCAGAUGUCUCUCAGGAAAACACCAAUCUUCCAGAUGGGGAGUGACGAAAGAUCCCAGUGUUGGCCAGGGAGACCUCCACCGUCUAUGACACCUGUGCAUGUCCUUCAAGAUUGCCCCUUCUGGGGAGGAGAGUGAUGGAAAACACAUAUACCAGCUCCUACAUGCCUCAGCCUGGAAGGUUUUGAAGCUCCCUUCCUCCCCUAGGGUGUUAGAGGAACUGGAUGGCAAACAGAGUGACUAAAACCAUCAGUGGAAGCAGGACACACGAUGAGACAAAGACAAGAAACACAAAGGGAAGAAAAAGAGCAUAGUUCAGUAAAUAACAGAUCAGCAAAUUUAAGCUCAGCUGAGGAAUUCAGCUCCCAGGCCCCAGAUUGCUGAGGAGGCUGGAUUCACGCAUAGUUGGCACUGAGUGAAAAGCGGGUGACCUCCUGGAAACUGAGGACCUUCUGGGAAUUAGAUGCCAACUGUGUCCUGGAUCAAGUAACAGUGCUUUACUAAAGACAUUUUACUUAAAGCUGUGACCUUAGGACCAAGCACGACCAUAUUUGAUCCCAGGCUUCUCUUCUUGCUGAGUCCCUUGACAACUUGUAUGAAUCUCAACUUUCUCUUCUAAAAAAUGAGGAUAAUUAUACCUACUUCACAGGCCAAUGUAAGGAUUAAAUGAGAUAAUCUGACAAAAGAGAAGGAAUAGUUCUUGCCACAUCCUUCUAACAGCAUCAACAUGCAUUCAUUCCUUGUGGUGGUUCGGUUUGCAAUGGCUAAGUGCUGGGACUCUGGAAUACGACUGCUCAUAUCAUUGCUCUCUCACAAUCACAGCUGUCUGACCUUGGACAAGUUACUUGACCUCUGCUUCAGCUUCUUCAUAUGUAAAAAUGUACUAUUAAUAGUACUUUCCCCAUAGGGUUAUGAAGAUUAAAGGAGUUAAAAUAUGUUAAGUACUUAGGCCAGUGCUUGGCACAUAAGUAAACAUUUAAAAAAUGUAAGCUAAAGACGUUCAAUAGUUUUGGAUUCUUUCUAGUAGUGAUUGAUUUUGUCUUAGGUUCCAUUCACAUAACUGGACAGGAAGGAAGCCGUGGUAACAGCCUUGCCGGCUGAGGGCGGGUGUCUUGUAGUUCUGUAUGAGGCAACAUUGCCUGCCUGCAGGGAACAGGUGGUGGUGGCGGCUUCCCCUCUAGCCAGGGUGGUUAUGUAUGGUUCAGGGCAGUUCCGGGUGAGAGCCUUGAGAGCCAGCAGCCAGGCUGCCUGACAGCCAGCUUUUGUUACUGACCUGGUCAAAUUAACAUUUCUGAUUGUUUCCUCCCUUGUGAAAUGGGGAUAAUUUUUGCCUCUCUGGGUUGUGUGAGGAUUAAAUGAGGUAAUUCACCUACAGUCCAAAGCCUGCACCAGCACAGAGCUAGCCGCGGUAAAGAUGAUUACAUCAAAUAUAUACAGCAGUUGAGCCCACGGGGAUUUUGAAGGAAGGGAAACCAGAAGACAGCUCGAAGUGGCCCUUCUAUCUAUCUGAACUCAGCCUGGUAAGAGGGAAAAAACCCAAUCUCUUCCUUUUGCAACGAAGUGACAACAGAGGUCUCCCCGCGGAAAGACUCCCCUUGUCUUUCACACUCCCCUCGCUACCCACCCCACCAAAUGCAGGCAAAGACAUCAUCCCUUCCAGUUUUACAAUCUACUCAUUUCUGUACGUGCAGGUUUAUCUGAGCUUGGUGGCAAGCCAAGGGUGGGUGGGGAGAGGCAUCAAAACCUGGCAACCCCGCUCCCCCAUCUCCGGAUGCCGCAGGGCUCCUGCCAGCCGUCCUCGGUUAAAAACGUGCUUUUUAUUUCUCUUCCCCGCAGCCUCCUGUGCAGCAGCUCAUUACCGCUCGCUUCAAUCACCGCUGCCAGCAUCUCCCCAGAACGUUUUCCCCUCCCCCCAUUUCAGGGACAUUGGUCGUAGCUGACAUUUAAAGAAAAUAAACACCGAUUUUAAAAAUUACAACCAUCUCCGCCUGAAGAACCCAGCAGCAAUGAAUAACUGAACAGUCCAGGGAAGAGCGCCUGUCGGGGCUCAACUCCGCCAGCCCUUCCUGC